UUCCUGUCAAUUAGGUAUGUAGUGCCGCUGUGGCUUUACAAGCAACACCACCUCAACACAGAAGGACUUCAUCCUGGAGAAGAAAAAGUUUUUUUGGGAGGUGUGCAUGUAUGUUUGUGUGUGUGAGAGAGAUAGAGAGAUCCACUAGAGAGAGAGAGAGAGAGAGAGAGAAAGAGCUUUGGCAGAGCCUAGCCUUUCCCACUCCUCCCAAAAAAAAAAGGAUAAAGAAGUUUGGAAGAAGCAAUCAAUUGCAUACCAUUUGCUAUUGGCCUUUGUAAACAUGUAUAUGAUAUCUGAGAACAGAAGGGCUUGAAAAUGCUUGUUUCUGUCUAUUAGUCCAUUCCCCAAUGUCCUGAGAACAGUACUUAUAAAAAAUGUAUAUGAUAACCCCUAGCAUUUUCCAAUC